rnacentral:rRNA from 1 species
CCUGAGAAACCCGAAAGAUCGAAUGGGGAGAUUCAUCGUCAGCGAUUUUGGUACGUGUGCGGCUCGCGAUGUCUGAGACUUCGGUCUCGUGGCACGUGUCCGCAUGUUUUUUAUUGCUGGAAUCGUCGGCGUGCACUUCUCCCCUAGUAGGACGUCGCGACCCGUUGGGUGUCGGUCUACGGCACGGUAGGUAGCCUGUCUCGUGUGGCGCUUCGCGGCGUUACGCGGGGCAGACCUCCGUUCGCCCGACCGGCUGCUCGGMGGUACUCGCACGGUAUCUGGCCGCAGACAUACGAACUGCGUCCGGCCCGUCGCAAGCGCGGCAAGUGUUUCCCGGCUGUACGGAUCUAAUGCCGUCACCGGGCCUUGCCAGCUGUUGGUUGACGGUGUCCUAGGACUGGCUAACAAAAUUAUGAUACCGGUCGGCGACGCUACUGCUUUGGGUACUUUCAGGACCCGUCUUGAAACACGGA